CCUACGGGAGGCAGCAGUGAGGAAUAUUGGUCAAUGGACGAGAGUCUGAACCAGCCAAGUAGCGUGAAGGAUGACUGCCCUAUGGGUUGUAAACUUCUUUUAUAUGGGAAUAAAAUGUUCCACGUGUGGGAUUUUGUAUGUACCAUAUGAAUAAGCAUCGGCUAACUCCGUGCCAGCAGCCGCGGUAAUACGGAGGAUGCGAGCGUUAUCCGGAUUUAUUGGGUGAAAGGGGUGCGCAGGGGGGAGAUAAAGUCAGCGGUAAAAUGUCGGGGCUAAACCCCGGCCGGCCGUUGAAACUGGUUUGCUAGAGUGGGAGAGAAGUAUGCGGAAUUCGUGGUGUAGCGGUGAAAUGCGUAGAUAUCACGAGGAACUCCGGUGGCGAAGGCAGCAUACCGGCUCCAUACUGACGCUGAGGCACGAAAGCGUGGGGAUCGAACAGGAUUAGAUACCCUAGUAGUC
rnacentral:rRNA from 1 species